UACGAAGGGGGGCUAGCGUUGCUCGGAAUUACUGGGCGUAAAGGGCGCGUAGGCGGACAGUUUAGUCAGAGGUGAAAGCCCAGGGCUCAACCCUGGAAUUGCCUUUGAUACUGACUGUCUUGAGUACGGGAGAGGUGUGUGGAACUCCGAGUGUAGAGGUGAAAUUCGUAGAUAUUCGGAAGAACACCAGUGGCGAAGGCGACACACUGGCCCGUUACUGACGCUGAGGCGCGAAAGCGUGGGGAGCAAACAGG
rnacentral:rRNA from 1 species